GAUAGCUCAGUUGGUUAGAGCAUGGUGCUGAUAACACCAAAGUUGAGGGUCGAUUCCCGUAGCUGCA